UGGGAAUUUGGACAAUGGGCGAAAGCCUGAUCCAGCAAUGCCGCGUGUGUGAAGAAGGCCUUCGGGUUGUAAAGCACUUUUGUCCGGAAAGAAAUCCUUGGCUCUAAUACAGUCGGGGGAUGACGGUACCGGAAGAAUAAGCACCGGCUAACUACGUGCCAGCAGCCGCGGUAAUACGUAGGGUGCAAGCGUUAAUCGGAAUUACUGGGCGUAAAGCGUGCGCAGGCGGUUUGCUAAGACCGAUGUGAAAUCCCCGGGCUCAACCUGGGAACUGCAUUGGCGACUGGCAGGCUAGAGUAUGGCAGAGGGGGGUAGAAUUCCACGUGUAGCAGUGAAAUGCGUAGAGAUGUGGAGGAAUACCGAUGGCGAAGGCAGCCCCCUGGGCAAUACUGACGCUCAUGCACGAAAGCGUGGGGAGCAAACAGGAUUAGAUACCCUGGUAGUCCACGCCCUAAACGAUGUCAACUAGUUGUUGGGGAUUCAUUCCUUAGUAACGUAGCUAACGCGUGAAGUUGACCGCCUGGGGAGUACGGUCGCAAGAUUAAAACUCAAAGGAAUUGACGGGGUC
rnacentral:rRNA from 1 species